UACGUAGGGGGCGAGCGUUGUCCGGAAUUAUUGGGCGUAAAGAGCGUGUAGGCGGCCCUGCAAGUCGGAUGUGAAAUCCCACGGCUCAACCGUGGAAGUGCAUUCGAAACUGCAGGGCUAGAGUCCUGGAGAGGAAGGUGGAAUGCUUGGUGUAGAGGUGAAAUGCGCAGAUAUCAGGAAGAACACCCGUGGCGAAGGCGGCUCUCUGGGACGGUACUGACGCUGAGACGCGAAAGCGUGGGGAGCGAACAGG
rnacentral:rRNA from 1 species